rnacentral:rRNA from 1 species
GACGAACGCUGGCGGCGUGCUUAACACAUGCAAGUCGAACGGAAAGGCCCUGCUUUUGUGGGGUGCUCGAGUGGCGAACGGGUGAGUAACACGUGGGUAACCUGCCCUUGACUUUGGGAUAACUUCAGGAAACUGGGGCUAAUACCGGAUAGGAGCUCCUGCUGCAUGGUGGGGGUUGGAAAGUUUCGGCGGUUGGGGAUGGACUCGCGGCUUAUCAGCUUGUUGGUGGGGUAGUGGCUUACCAAGGCUUUGACGGGUAGCCGGCCUGAGAGGGUGACCGGCCACAUUGGGACUGAGGUACGGCCCAGACUCCUACGGGAGGCAGCAGUGGGGAAUAUUGCACAAUGGGCGGAAGCCUGAUGCAGCAACGCCGCGUGCGGGAUGACGGCCUUCGGGUUGUAAACCGCUUUCGCCUGUGACGAAGCGUGAGUGACGGUAAUGGGUAAAGAAGCACCGGCUAACUACGUG